AUCCACAAUUCUCCAUAGGGCACUUGAUUUUGUACCAGCACCACGCGCCGCCGCCAAUCCCAUGUAUCAGCACGAAAUGAGGCGCCGCCGCCGCCGCCGGAGGAUCAUUAUUCAACUUCGCCUUUUCUUUCAUCAUUACAGGGAUUCCAGCCAGGUCUUCUUGUUUGAUGAAAAAAUAAUAGUACUACUAUUUAAAAUCGAGUAUGAUUGAUAGUGGCUGCUUCCAAACAUGACGACCUCAGAUGAUUUCCAAGUGCUCCAUUACAAUUCUUCAAUAAAAGCAUUUUUAGUGUCGCACCAAACAUUCAUGGUUCAAAAGGAAUAGACACAAAGUUUUAAAAUAGUAGGAGUAAUAAAUUAAUCGUUCUCAAUUCGACAGUGGCACGAGAAGUCUGACAACAAAAUCAAGAUAGAAAAUGAAUAGGGCGUUAGAUAAUUACUGUUUUGACAUUCAAUAAUUUUGUCAGCUUUACUUGACAAUUAUCUCCUUAUCACAAACGUGUUUAUUUUUUGGGUAGAUUUUUUUAUAGUAAAAAAAAUAAAGGUAGAAUUUUCUUUUCCAUUAGCCAGCGCAGAAGUGAUGCUGGUAGGCCAGCUGUUUUACUCUGUUUCUGAAUGCGUUACAGUUACUGGCUACUAAAUAUAUAUUGCCCAAAUGUUAUGAAUUUAUCAUAAAUAACAAAAACUUGCCGAAUUGUAUGUUUA